CCCUUAGAUGUUCUGGGCCGCACGCGCGCUACACUGAUGCAUUCAACGAGUUUCUUCCUGGUCCGAGAGGAAUGGGUAACCUUUUGAAAGUGCAUCGUGAUAGGGAUAGACUAUUGCAAUUAUUGGUCUUCAACGAGGAAUUCCUAGUAGACGUAGUUCAUCAGACUGCAUCGAUUACGUCCCUGCCCUUUGUACACACCGCCCGUCGCUCCUACCGAUCGAAGAGUUAGGUGAAUUGUUUUGAUCGAUAAGAUUUGACUAUGGUCAACUCUCGUUGGGAAAUUCUGUGAAUCUGACUGUUUAGAGGAAGGAAAAGUCGUAACA
rnacentral:rRNA from 1 species